ACCGCGUUCGCAUUCAGCCGUUCAGCUGCCGCGCUCGCAUUCAGCCGUUCAGCUGCCGCGCUCGCAUUCAGCCGUUCAGCUGCCGCGCUCGCAUUCAGCCGUUCAGCUGCCGCGCUCGCAUUCAGCCGUUCAGCUGCCGCGCUCACAUUCAGCCGUUCAGCUGCCCCGUUCGCAUUCAGCCGUUCAGCUGCCGCGCUCACAUUCAGCUGUUCAGCUGCCGCGCUCGCAUUCAGCUGCCGCGGUCGAGCACAGUCACCGGGAAAUCAACAAUAGAACCCCAUUUAAAAAGCGAACACAUCAACGAUAAACGAGUGAACGUGAAGGAGACAUAGAAGCACAUUGGAAAAACCGUAAUUGUGCCGACCAUGAGAAUACAAAUUAACUAGCAGUGCUAUCAAUUUGGUU